rnacentral:rRNA from 1 species
UACGUAGGUGGCAAGCGUUGUCCGGAAUUACUGGGUGUAAAGGGAGCGUAGGCGGGAAUGCAAGUCAAGUGUUAAAACUAACGGCUCAACCGAUAGCUGCGCUUGAAACUGCAUCUCUUGAGUGAAGUAGAGGCAGGCGGAAUUCCUAGUGUAGCGGUGAAAUGCGUAGAUAUUAGGAGGAACACCAGUGGCGAAGGCGGCCUGCUGGGCUUUUACUGACGCUGAGGUUCGAAAGUGUGGGGAGCAAACAGGAUUAGAUACCCUGGUAGUCCACACUGUAAACGAUGAUUACUAGGUGUGGGGGGACUGACCCCUUCCGUGCCGGAGUUAACACAAUAAGUAAUCCACCUGGGAAGUACGGCCGCAAGGUUGAA